AGUGAACGCUGGCGGUAGGCCUAACACAUGCAAGUCGAACGGCAGCACAGUAAGAUCUUGCUCUUACGGGUGGCGAGUGGCGGACGGGUGAGGAAUACAUCGGAAUCUACUUUUUCGUGGGGGAUAACGUAGGGAAACUUACGCUAAUACCGCAUACGACCUACGGGUGAAAGCAGGGGAUCUUCGGACCUUGCGCGAUUGAAUGAGCCGAUGUCGGAUUAGCUAGUUGGCGGGGUAAAGGCCCACCAAGGCGACGAUCCGUAGCUGGUCUGAGAGGAUGAUCAGCCACACUGGAACUGAGACACGGUCCAGACUCCUACGGGAGGCAGCAGUGGGGAAUAUUGGACAAUGGGCGCAAGCCUGAUCCAGCCAUACCGCGUGGGUGAAGAAGGCCUUCGGGUUGUAAAGCCGUUUUGUUGGGAAAGAAAAGCAGCAGGUUAAUACCCCGCUGUUCUGACGGUACCCAAAGAAUAAGCACCGGCUAACUUCGUG
rnacentral:rRNA from 1 species